AGACGCGGGCACGCACGGCGCAGGCGCGCUACGGCUCAGCCCCGACAGCGCAGCGUCGCCCCCUGACGCCGGCGGGACUCGACCCGCUGCCGCGCUACGGCGGCCCGUGAGGCCCGGAUCCGGGGGGUUCAGCCGGCGUGCGCGGGAGCGGGGGGAGGAGCCCGGCCGGGCCUGGCAGCGCCGCCCCUCCGCCAGGUGCUUUCCAGGGUCAUCAUGGUGCACCUUGCUCAUCUCCUUAUGAAAAAUUAUCAUGGAGGACACGUAGCUAUCCGAUUGGCUCUUGGUGGUUGUGCCAACAGACCCUUCUUCCGUAUAGUGGCCGCAUAUAACAAGCGAGCACGGGACAGCAAGUAUUUGGAGCAAGUGGGCUGCUAUGACCCACUCCCAAAUAGCCACAAUGAAAAGCUUGUUGGCUUGAACAUCGAGAGAAUCAAACACUGGAUUGGUUGUGGAGCACAUGUCACAAAACCGGUUGAAAAACUUCUAGGUAACUCAGUGUGUUUUCCAAUCUGAACUAUUUGCUUAUUUCUCUUAAAAGACAAUAGGUUUUCCUUGGUGAUCCUCCGCAUACUUGGAGUACCAAAGACUCUUUCUUCAUUUCUUUGCAUGAAUCCUUGAGAAUAUGUAUAUAUGCAAUCACCCUUCUUUUGGCCACAGGAAAUGGGAUGUUUCAAUAGCAGCCUUGUUAGUCUGUAUCCGGAAAAAGAACGGGAGGACUUGUGGCACCUUAGAGACUAACAAAUUCAUUUGAGCAUAAGCUUUCGUGGGCUACAGCUCACUUCAUCAGAUGAAUAGAAUGGAACAUAUAGUAAGAAGAUCUAUCUACACAUACAGAGAAUCAUGAAAAGGUGGGAGUUGCCAUACAAACUGUAAGAGGCUAAUUAAGAUGAGCUAUAAUUUGUUAGUCUCUAAGGUGUCACAAGUACUCCUGUUCUUUUUGCGGAAAUGGGAACGGGUCUCAUUUAUGGAGACACUGAGCUGGCCGAGACAGCAGUAAAAGGCACUUCAAGCCACUAGAGGGUUGGUGAGAGAGACAAUUACUCUCACUUCUUAAAAGUCUCAUUAACUAUUGGAACAGUUGACCCAGGGUUGUCGUGAAUUCUCCAUCACUGACAAUUUAACUUGAGAUUGGAUGUUUUUCUGAAAUAUAUAUGCUAAGAAUUAUUUUGGGGAAGUUCUAUAGCAUGUGUUAUAUAGGAUGUCAGACGAGAUAAUCACAGCGCUCCCUUCUAGCCUUUGAAUCUGUGAGUCUAGAACAGUCAUAUUGCAACUCCAGCUAUAAACAUAAAUCAUCUUUCUCUCACGUCUUUCUGGUUUUUUCCCAUUGCAUCCUAUGACAAUCACAAAUGCAGAAAGAUUAAGGAAGAGAAGAGCCUUGAAAGCCAUAACAGCUUCUGAGGAAGAAACUCCAGGUGACUGAUAACAUCUAACUGAACUGAAUUACUCAAAAGAUUACUGUACAGACAACGAUCAGAACAGUGUGCCAACUAAAAAGGACAAUAUAUUUACUACAGGCAAAGAAAUGAUAGUGGAUGUGAAUUAUUUCAUAAGAACAUUAAAGUAUUUUGAAGCUUUAGGAGUCCUCAGACAAGGAUUCUGAUUGUCCUCAUUUGUUAAUUA